GACGAACGCUGGCGGCGUGCCUAAUACAUGCAAGUCGAGCGCAGGAAACCGUCUGAACCCUUCGGGGGGACGACGAUGGAAUGAGCGGCGGACGGGUGAGUAACACGUAAAGAACCUGCCCACGGGUCUGGGAUAACCACGAGAAAUCGGGGCUAAUACCGGACGGGUCAUCGGACCGCAUGGUCCGAGGAUGAAAGGCGCUCCGGCGUCGCCCGUGGAUGGCUUUGCGGUGCAUUAGCUAGUUGGUGGGGUAACGGCCCACCAAGGCGACGAUGCAUAGCCGACCUGAGAGGGUGAUCGGCCACACUGGGACUGAGACACGGCCCAGACUCCUACGGGAGGCAGCAGUAGGGAAUCUUCCACAAUGGACGAAAGUCUGAUGGAGCAACGCCGCGUGAACGAUGAAGGCCCUCGGGUCGUAAAGUUCUGUUGUAAGGGAAGAACAAGUGCCGCAGGCAAUGGCGGCACCUUGACGGUACCUUGCGGGAAAGCCACGGCUAACUACGUGCCAGCCGCCGCAGUAA
rnacentral:rRNA from 1 species